rnacentral:RNase_P_RNA from 1 species
AAGGUGCCAGACGAGGAAAGUCCGGGCUUCACAGGGCAGGAUGCCGGAUAACGUCCGGUGGAGGCGACUCCAAGGCCAGUGCAACAGAAAUAAACCGCCGGUAAUAUUGCUUCGUCAAUAUUAUCGGUAAGGGUGGAAAGGCAGUGUAAGAGACUACCGCCCUUCUGGUAACAGAAGGGGCAUAUGUAAACCCCAUCCGAAGCAAGACCAAGCAGAAAGCGACAGGUUUGCCCGACCUGCUUUCAGGUAGGUCGCUUGAGGCUGUUGGCAACAGCAGUCCUAGAUAGAUGAUCACUCUCGACAUAACCCGGCUUAUCGUUCCGCUUA